AGUGUGGUUAAUGAUGUAUGGGUCUUUCCCCGACUUAUCGACUAUGAUGAUACAAUCCUUACUUUAAGCCAAAUUUGUUCUGAAACCACACA